UGGGUAACCUGCCUCAAAGAGGGAAUAGCCUCCCGAAAGGGAGAUUAAUACCGCAUAAUAUGUUUAGGUCGCAUGACUUUAACAUCAAAGGAUUUUUCUUUUAGAAAUUCCACUUUGAGAUGGACCCCGCGGCGCAUUAGCUAGUUGGUGAGGUAACGGCUCACCAAGGCAACGAUGCGUAGCCGACCUGAGAGGGUGAUCGGCCACAUUGGAACUGAGACACGGUCCAGCUCCGUAGGGAGG
rnacentral:rRNA from 1 species